rnacentral:rRNA from 1 species
CAUUACCGAGUUUACAACUCCCAAACCCAAUGUGAACGUUACCAAACUGUUGCCUCGGCGGGAUCUCUGCCCCGGGUGCGUCGCAGCCCCGGACCAAGGCGCCCGCCGGAGGACCAACCAAAACUCUUUUUGUAUACCCCCUCGCGGGUUUUUUUAUAAUCUGAGCCUUCUCGGCGCCUCUCGCAGGCGUUUCGAAAAUGAAUCAAAACUUUCAACAACGGAUCUCUUGGUUCUGGCAUCGAUGAAGAACGCAGCGAAAUGCGAUAAGUAAUGUGAAUUGCAGAAUUCAGUGAAUCAUCGAAUCUUUGAACGCACAUUGCGCCCGCCAGUAUUCUGGCGGGCAUGCCUGUCCGAGCGUCAUUUCAACCCUCGAACCCCUCCGGGGGGUCGGCGUUGGGGAUCGGCCCUCCCUUAGCGGGUGGCCGUCUCCGAAAUACAGUGGCGGUCUCGCCGCAGCCUCUCCUGCGCAGUAGUUUGCACACUCGCAUCGGGAGCGCGGCGCGUCCACAGCCGUUAAACACCCAACUUCUGAAAUGU